rnacentral:rRNA from 1 species
GUGGGGAAUCUUGCGCAAUGGGCGAAAGCCUGACGCAGCCAUGCCGCGUGAAUGAUGAAGGUCUUAGGAUUGUAAAAUUCUUUCACCGGGGACGAUAAUGACGGUACCCGGAGAAGAAGCUCCGGCUAACUUCGUGCCAGCAGCCGCGGUAAUACGAAGGGGGCUAGCGUUGCUCGGAAUUACUGGGCGUAAAGGGCGCGUAGGCGGGAAGGUGUGUCGACCUGUAAAUCUAUCGUUUCAAGCGGUAGGCUUGGGUUGAAACUGCCGUUCUAGAGGAUUUCAGGGGAGUUUGGAAUUUACGGUGUAGCAGUGAAAUGCGUGGAUAUCGUAAGGAAGGCUUGUGGCGAAGGCGAAACUCUGGGGAAUACCUGACGCUGAGGCGCGAAGGCUAGGUUAGCAAACGGGAUUAGAAACCCGGGUAGUCC